rnacentral:rRNA from 1 species
UACGUAGGGUGCGAGCGUUAAUCGGAAUUACUAGGCGUAAAGCGUGCGCAGGCGGUGAUGUAAGACCGAUGUGAAAUCCCCGGGCUUAACCUGGGAACUGCAUUGGUGACUGCAUUGCUGGAGUAUGGCAGAGGGGGGUGGAAUUCCACGUGUAGCAGUGAAAUGCGUAGAGAUGUGGAGGAACACCGAUGGCGAAGGCAGCCCCCUGGGCCAAUACUGACGCUCAUGCACGAAAGCGUGGGGAGCAAACAGG